rnacentral:lncRNA from 1 species
CCAGCUUCCAUCUUCAUUUAUAAUUACCCCUAAAUGCUUGUGCGACUCAACUUCUUUUAUGAUAUUAUUAUUCAUAUACACUGGCGGGUGGUGGGGUUUAUGAUGCCUCUUUGAAAUGGUCAUUAUUUCUGUUUUGUUAGGGUUGAAAUUGACAAGCCAUUGCUUAGACCAAUUAUGUAUUUUCUCAAUAUCUUUAUUUAGCUUUUC